rnacentral:rRNA from 1 species
UUCUUAUUAAAUUAUAUAAUAAGUAAAACCUGCCCAGUGAUUUAUAUUAAACGGCUAUAUAAUAAUACUAAGGUAGCGUAAUAAAUUGUCAUUUAAUUGUUGAAUAAAAUGAAGGUUUAAUGAAUUAUAUACUGUCUUCAAAAAAUAAAAUAAAAUUAAUAAUUUAGUGAAAAAUCUUAAGUUAUUUUAAAAGACGAUAAGACCCUAUAGAACUUAUUUAACAUUUAAAUUUACUGGGGAAGUAAAAGUAAAAAAAAAAUUACUUUUAAAGUUUUAAACUUUUAAGUUUUUAAAUAGCCAUUAAUAAAGAUUUUGAUUAAAAAGUUACCUUAGGGAUAACAGCAUUAAUUAUAUAAAAAGUUUUCUUAUUUUAAUAAUUUUUAAUGACCUCGAUGUUGAAUUAAGAUAAAUUUAUAAAGAAAAAGUUUUAUUAAAUUAGGUCUGUUCGACCUUUAAAAUCUU